rnacentral:lncRNA from 1 species
CACAGACCACCAGAGUCUGAAGUACAUAUUUACUCAGGCGGACCUAAAUCUGAGACAGCGCAGAUGGAUGGAGUUGUUAGCAGACUACAACCUGGAGAUUACGUAUCAACCAAGGUAAGGCCAAUCAGGUGGCAGAUGCCUUGAGUAGACACAGGAACGAUGUUUCAGGAACGAAGGAGGUUCAGGAGCUGACUGGGACACUUGCUAGUCUCAGAUUGUGUGCAGUUACCGCAGAGGGAGA